UUUACUUUUGGUGCAUAAUAAUGCCUAAACGUGGACAAACAUUGAAAAGUGGAGCCCGUGAGCUAAUCAUCAAGCUGCAAGAUUACUUUGAGCGGGAGCGGCAAAAUUGCGGACCCCUGGUACCAGUCGAACAAGUACAAGAACGCGUCUCUCAGGCGCUUGGAGUUAGCAAACGAACGAUAAUAAAUAUUAACAAAGAAAAUUUCGGCUCGACUGGCAUGGGAGAUAAUAUUUUAAGCAUAGUUUACACGGAGUCCAACACUGGCUGCCAAUAAGACUGGCAGCCAGUGCUGGCUUGGCAUGGCAUGGCAUUGGCCUUGUGUAAACAGUUUUUCAAGCCAAGCCAGCGCUGGCUGCCAACGCUGGCGAGAAUAGAGCGACCAUCUAUUUUUCUAGCCAGUGACUUCCGCCCGCAUACCCUUCGACCCCCGCGCCAGCGUUGUGGACACGUGUAGACGAGUCUCGCCAGUCACUGGCGAACGUCCGUAUGGUGUGUGUUAUUUGUUGUUUUGGAAUUUCUGCGACAAAAUGCCGAGAAAAUUCAACGAAGAAAAUACUUUGAAAUUCGUACAACUUUAUAGAGAGCACGAAUGCUUGUGGAAUAAGCGUUGCGAUGCAUACAAAAAUAAAGAAAUGCGCGCUUCGGCACUAGAACAACUUCGUGUAGGAAUGAAUAUAGAAGAACUGACUCUCGAUGAAGUUAAAUCAAAAAUCAAAAGUAUUCGAAAUACGUCCUACUUGGAACUCGACAAAAUAGAAAAAUCUAGAAGAUCUGGGGCUGGGCGGAGCGUUUAUAAGCAAAAGUCAAAAUGGUUUGAUGAAUAUUAUUCGUUUGUAAAGCCGGUUUCUAUGAGGAGAAAAACCAUAGAACCCAAAAAAAGAAAAAGGAAGGGGCCAAAAGAAGAUAUCCUUGAAACAAAAUGGAUAAAUUAUAUGAAACGGCUCAAGCUUUGAUGAAUCGCAAGGAUAGUGAAACCAACUCUUUCGGGACGUAUGUUGGGCAGAAGUUGGAGCAGAUUGAAUCUGUGAAUCAGCCCAUAAAUAGAACCUGCGCUGCCACUGGAAUAUCGAAAAGCACAUUGCUAAGAAUAAAAAAGCAGGUGAAAUCACAAUCUCCAGUGCCCUCAACGUCUAGUAAUAUAACGUCUGCCCCACCUCAACCUUCGACACCUGGCAAAAAGAGAAAACCAAGUUUAAAAAAAAAUAAAGCUCGACAGCUUUGACUUGGUCGCUCUAAGAAACAUUGUCAACAGUUUCUACACAGUCAAAAAAGAAAUACCUACGCUCAAAAAAUUAUUAGCAGCUGCCAAAAGGGAUUUGAAUUUUCCAGGUGGAAGAACUACAUUGCGACUCAUUUUAAAAAACGAAUUGGGGUACAAGUUCAAAAAAUGCAAAAAUGCCCGAUCGGUUUUAAUCCAAAAACCCGAUAUUGCAGCUUGGAGGGCUAGAUACUUGCGGCGUAUGAAGGAAAACAACGAACUUGGAGCAGACAAGAAACCAGUCACGUAUUUGGACGAGACAUGGAUUAAUUCCCACUACACUGUGAGAAAGUGCUGGCAGAACAGUUCUGAUGCCAGUGUAAUGAAAAAUACGAAUCCUGGUCAACGCCGGAUUCUCGUGCAUGCGGGUGGCGAAAAUGGCUUUGUCCCUGGCGCAGAGUUACUCUACAAAUUAAAAGUAAGACAGGUGAUUACCAUGAUGAAAUGGAUACGAACAAUUUUGUUAAGUGGCUUAAUGAAAAAUUAUUGCCCAACUUGCCUCCAAACGGCAUAGUUGUAAUAGACAACGCACCAUACCACUCGACACAGGCAGAAAAAGUCCCGUACCAAACUGCAUUGAAGAGCGAGAUGCAAAAUUGGCUUACCAGUCAGAACAUAACCUUUAAUCCAAAAAUGACGAAACCCGAGCUAUUUCAACUGAUCAAAGCAAACAAGCCAGAAAAAAAAUAUAUUGUGGACGAGUUGUUUAAAGAACAUGGGCACGAAGUCAUACGUCUGCCACCCUACCACUGCGAUUUAAAUCCAAUCGAAUAUAUUUGGAAUCUGGUCAAACAAAGGGUGGCAGACAAAAACAUUGACCAGUCUGAAAGACAAAUAGAGAAAUUAACAAAAGAAGCCAUACAAUCAAUAACAGUGGAAGACUGGAAGAAAGAGAUCAAUCAUGUGCAGAGAUUAGAAAACGAUUUCUAGGAGAAAGAUCGUCACCAAGAAGAUCAAGUGAGACAAUUCGUGAUAUCACUUGGAGGAGAAGACAGCUCAUCGGACAGCGAAAUAGACGAAGACGACACAGAUAACAGUGAGAUAUCGGGUAUAGAAGAAUUAGCCGAUGAUUAGUCAAUACAAUAUUAUUUAAAUUAUUAACAUUAUUUAUUAAAAUAUAUAUAUAUAUAUAUAUAUAUGUAUGGCUUUAUAUUGUAUGAAUUAUAUGUGGUUAUGUAUUAUAUGUAUAUUUAAGUAAAUAGUUGUAGGUAUAUCAUUUGUAUUAUUUUAUUUAUUUUACUUUCCUUUUUUAUUACACAUUCUUGUCUAUCUCAAAAGUAUCUAUUUUCCUACAAUGGUAUAGGUUGGCUGGAAGAGAUCUCUUUAUAGAGAUAAGCUCGCCUUUGUUACAAUUUUUCGGUUCUGUAAUUGUUACAAUGUUGUGUGCAAUAAAGUAUUUAAUAAUAAAUAUGUAACUAAAUAGUAUUUUAAUUAUUUUUCUACCAAGACUUGUUAUGUAAAGAAUUAAUGACUGUUUGUGACGAAAAUAUAAAUAAAUAAACAUAA
rnacentral:lncRNA from 1 species